rnacentral:rRNA from 1 species
ACGGCGAGUGAAGCGGCAACAGCUCAAAUUUGAAAUCUGGCCCCAGGCCCGAGUUGUAAUUUGUAGAGGAUGCUUUUGGUGCGGUACUUUCCGAGUUCCCUGGAACGGGACGCCUUAGAGGGUGAGAGCCCCGUACGGUUGGAUACCUAGCCUCUGUAAAGCUCCUUCGACGAGUCGAGUAGUUUGGGAAUGCUGCUCAAAAUGGGAGGUAAAUUUCUUCUAAAGCUAAAUACCGGCCAGAGACCGAUAGCGCACAAGUAGAGUGAUCGAAAGAUGAAAAGCACUUUGAAAAGAGGGUUAAAUAGCACGUGAAAUUGUUGAAAGGGAAGGACUUAUGACCAGACUUUUUCUAGGCGGAUCAUCCGGUGUUCUCACCGGUGCACUUCGCCUAGUCAAGGCCAGCAUCGGUUUCUGUAGAGGGAUAAAAGCAGUAGGAAUGUGGCUCCCUCGGGAGUGUUAUAGCCUGUUGUAUAAUACCUUUACGGGGACCGAGGUUCGCGCUUCGGCAAGGAUGCUGGCAUAAUGGUCAUCAGUCACCCGUCUUGAAACACGGACCAAGGAGUCGAACAUUUAUGCGAGUGUUUGGGUGUUAAACCCUCACGCGUAAUGAAAGUGAACGGAGGUGAGAGCCUUAGGGUGCAUCAUCGACCGAUCCUGAAGUCUUCGGAUGGAUUUGAGUAAGAGCAUAACUGUUCGGACCCGAAAGAUGGUGAACUAUGCGUGGAUAGGGUGAAGCCAGAGGAAACUCUGGUGGAGGCUCGCAGCGGUUCUGACGUGCAAAUCGAUCGUCAAAUCUGCGCAUGGGGGCGAAAGACUAAUCGA